GACGAAGGAUGCAAGCGUUAUCCGGAUUCAUUGGGUUUAAAGGGAGCGUAGGUGGCCUUAUAAGUCAGUGGUGAAAUCUCUGGGCUUAACCCAGAAAUUGCCAUUGAUACUGUAGGGCUUGAGUAUAGUUGCCGUUGGCGGAAUAUGACAUGUAGUGGUGAAAUACAUAGAGAUGUCAUAGAACACCGAUUGCGAAGGCAGCUAACGAAACUAUAACUGACACUGAGGCUCGAAAGCGUGGGGAGCAAACAGG
rnacentral:rRNA from 1 species